CCUACGGGUGGCAGCAGUGAGGAAUAUUGGUCAAUGGGCGCGAGCCUGAACCAGCCAAGCAGCGUGAAGGAUGAAGGUCCUACGGGUUGUAAACUUCUUUUGUGCGGGAGCAAAAAUGGUCACGAGUGGCCAGACGAGAGUACCGUACGAAUAAGCAUCGGCUAACUCCGUGCCAGCAGCCGCGGUAAUACGGGGGAUGCAAGCGUUAUCCGGAUUUAUUGGGUUUAAAGGGUGCGUAGGCUGUGAGGUAAGUCAGCGGUGAAAUGCCGCCGCUCAACGGGGUGAAGUGCCAUUGAUACUGGCUUGCUGGAAUGCGAAUGCCGUUGGAGGAAUGCGUGGUGUAGCGGUGAAAUGCAUAGAUAUCACACAGAAUACCGAUUGCGAAGGCAUCUCACGGAUCCGCGAUUGACGCUGAUGCACGAAAGCGUGGGUAUCAAACAGGAUUAGAUACCCCGGUAGUC
rnacentral:rRNA from 1 species